UGCAAGGGCCUCGCGCGAUUGGAGCGGCCGAUAUCGGAUUAGCUAGUUGGUGGGGUAAAGGCCCACCAAGGCGACGAUCCGUAGCGGGUCUGAAAGGACGACCCGCCACACUGGAACUGAGACACGGUCCAGACUCCUACGGGAGGCAGCAGUGGGGAAUUUUGGACAAUGGGGGCAACCCUGAUCCAGCCAUUCCGCGUGAGUGAAGAAGGCCUUCGGGUUGUAAAGCUCUUUCAGCAGGAACGAAACGGUCGGCCUGAAUACGGUCGGCUAAUGACGGUACCUGCAGAAGAAGCACCGGCUAACUACGUGCCAGCAGCCGCGGUAAUACGUAGGGUGCGAGCGUUAAUCGGAAUUACUGGGCGUAAAGCGUGCGCAGGCGGUGACAUAAGACAGAUGUGAAAUCCCCGGGCUCAACCUGGGAACUGCGUUUGUGACUGUGUCGCUCGAGUGUAGCAGAGGGGGGUGGAAUUCCACGUGUAGCAGUGAAAUGCGUAGAGAUGUGGAGGAACACCGAUGGCGAAGGCAGCCCCCUGGGUUAACACUGACGCUCAUGCACGAAAGCGUGGGGAGCAAACAGGAUUAGAUACCCUGGUAGUCCACGCCCUAAACGAUGCCAACUAGGUGUUGGGGAAGGAGACUUCCUUAGUGCCGUAGCUAACGCGUGAAGUUGGCCGCCUGGGGAGUACGGUCGCAAGAUUAAAACUCAAAGGAAUUGACGG
rnacentral:rRNA from 1 species